GAUGAACGCUGGCGGCGUGCUUAACACAUGCAAGUCGAACGAUGAAGCCCAGCUUGCUGGGUGGAUUAGUGGCGAACGGGUGAGUAACACGUGAGUAACCUGCCCUUAACUCUGGGAUAAGCCUGGGAAACUGGGUCUAAUACCGGAUAGGAGCGUCCACCGCAUGGUGGGUGUUGGAAAGAUUUAUCGGUUUUGGAUGGACUCGCGGCCUAUCAGCUUGUUGGUGAGGUAAUGGCUCACCAAGGCGACGACGGGUAGCCGGCCUGAGAGGGUGACCGGCCACACUGGGACUGAGACACGGCCCAGACUCCUACGGGAGGCAGCAGUGGGGAAUAUUGCACAAUGGGCGCAAGCCUGAUGCAGCGACGCCGCGUGAGGGAUGACGGCCUUCGGGUUGUAAACCUCUUUCAGUAGGGAAGAAGCGAAAGUGACGGAACCUGCAGAAGAAGCACCGGCUAACUACGUG
rnacentral:rRNA from 1 species